rnacentral:hammerhead_ribozyme from 1 species
AUCCAGCUGACGAUUCAUAAAUAGGACGAAAUGCUCAUCCUGGAU